rnacentral:rRNA from 1 species
CCUACGGGUGGCAGCAGUGAGGAAUAUUGGUCAAUGGACGAGAGUCUGAACCAGCCAAGUAGCGUGAAGGAUGACUGCCCUAUGGGUUGUAAACUUCUUUUAUAUGGGAAUAAAACGUUCCACGUGUGGGAUUUUGUAUGUACCAUAUGAAUAAGGAUCGGCUAACUCCGUGCCAGCAGCCGCGGUAAUACGGAGGAUCCGAGCGUUAUCCGGUUUUAUUGGGUUUAAAGGGAGCGUAGGUGGAUUGUUAAGUCAGUUGUGAAAGUUUGCGGCUCAACCGUAAAAUUGCAGUUGAAACUGGCAGUCUUGAGUACAGUAGAGGUGGGCGGAAUUCGUGGUGUAGCGGUGAAAUGCUUAGAUAUCACGAAGAACUCCGAUUGCGAAGGCAGUUCACUGGACUGCAACUGACACUGAGGCUCGAAAGUGUGGGUAUCAAACAGGAUUAGAUACCCUAGUAGUC